CGCCAUUUUAGCUGAGUUCACUGAAGGUUGAAGAAGGUGUUUCUCAAUUUAAAACGUCUGUGUCUCCGGUUGUACAAGUCAUUUGAAAGGUGAAACUGGAGGAAGCGCUGUGUAACUGCACAGACUGAUUUGGCAUGCAGAGAGAGAAAAAAGAACGCAGGCUGCGACGGAUAUUCAAAUAAAUUGUAACACUGAAGAGAUGGGCUUUGUAUCACAAAACUGGUGACAGAAUCGGAAAUCACGUAUGACAGCCUCCGAACCUCAGCCAGAGAUAUAACCAAGCACGGGGCUCCAGACCAGCAGGGGUCGCAGCAGUGCGGUGAGGAGAAUAUCCCCAGACCUCACGGGAGAGUGAGCCACACUGCACUCUACCAGCACUGCUUUCACUAGGUGCCCUGCUUAUUCAACACAAGCAUUCAGUUUACUAGGUAAAUGCUUUGGGAAAAAUCUGAAUGAUGUUCCUGCUAUUACGAUGAUCUUCCAAAUCCCAUCAGAGGCAAAGUGCCCUAUUCUUCCUUCCCUGACAAGGCCUGUCAGCAGAGUUGUAGAGAUUUCUCUCACUUUUCAUUUACAAGCACCAUGGAACAGCAGCACAGCAUCAUAUUCAUUAUUUAAACACAUUUAUACAGGAGGUGUCCUCCGAGAUUAAGUAUCUCCUUCUCAGGGAUGCUCUCUCACUGGUAACAGGUCCCAGACACUGGUAAACAAAGAGCGAAACACAAGAAAAACAGACAAUAAAUCAUAAAAUCAUAAAAAUAAAUCACAAAACGAAGAGGAGAACUAAUCCAGGGACCAAGCGCACGGUAUAUUGUGUUUUAAGAAUGAAGAGGAGAACUAAUCUAGGGACCAAUCGCAUGGUAUAUUGUGUUUUAAGAAUGAAGAGGGGAACCAAUCCAAGGACCAAUCGCAUGGUAUAUUGUGUUUUAAAAACGAAGAGAAGACUUUUUCACUAAUUUUGUUUGUGAAAAUAUGCAAAAUAUACAUGAUGCAAAACUAGAAUAAAUACCAAUGAGUUUAUAUACAGUAUGGGUAUACUUUAUAUAGGCAAAUGUUUGUUUCCAUAAAUAUGUCCUGUUUUCCAUCCAUGUAAAGUGGAACCUGUUUUUUGUUUGGUAAAGUCAGAGUUGUCUGAGAAGAUAGAGCAGCUUUGUCGGUGUAACUGUCUGACUAAGGAUAAAAAACCUGGGAGAUGAUGGGAAUUGACAGUAACACUGCACCUGAAACAGACCCCAGGGGCCAUCUGAGGAUGCUGAACCAACUCAGACUGACAAGCAAGGUGCCCUCCUGCCUAUGCCAGACUCAAUAAAACAGCGAUCUCAAUUUAUUCAACAAAAGCCUACAGUUUACUGGGUCAAAUGCCUUAGUCCUAAUCUGAAUAAUGUCCCUGGUAUUACGAUGCAAUUCCAGUAAGUUCACUGUAGUAAUUAGCCAGUGAGCAGAUAAUUACAUGUAUAUGCAACAGCCUUUCUGGAAUUAUUUGUUUAUUUAUUUGUUUAUUUAUUUAGCAGACGCCUUUAUCCAAGGCAACUUACAGAGACUAGGGAGUGUGAACUAUGCAUCAGCUGCAGAGUCACUUACAAUUACGUCUCACCCGAAAGACGGAGCACAAGGAGGUUAAGUGACUUGCUCAGGGUCACACAAUGAGUCAGUGGCUGAGGUGGGAUUUGAACCGGGGACCUUCUGGUUGCAAGCCCGUUUCUUUAACCUCCUUAGCUCAGGGGCUGCCCAAUUAGCUCAGGGGCUGCCCAAUUAGCUCAGGGGCUGCCUAUUAACAGAGUUCCAAUAAGCAGACAUCAUCCAUAACUAUUAAACAUACAAUACUGCUGACUUUAGAAACAUUCAAAGAAACUUCUACAUUCAAUGACAAGCGUCUCAACUCUUUUUUCAAUGUCUUCUUCUUUUUGUAGUAUUUCUAAAUAAAUGACGU